rnacentral:lncRNA from 1 species
GAACGGCGAGGUAGGUUCCCAGGUUUGUCUCAGUAAACACUGCUGUCGGAACACCCAUUGAUUCUCCAAGGUUUUCGGCAAAGAAACGAUUUUUUGCUUUCUUUCUUUCUAUUGCCUUUUGGGUUUUGGAAAUAGAAUAAUAAGGCACGUUUUAUGGUUUAUUUUUAUGGGUUAUUUAAUUUAAUAAACAGAAGAAAGGUGAGCAUAAACCCUUUGGCUUCCUCACCCACAAAAAUGGAGGCACUGCGUUCUUCUUUACCACUCUUCCCUGAGAUUAGGUAUACAGCUUCGAAUUGUGAGUGCAGCGGAGGACUUUCAGAGACAACUUGGAUCACUAGAAUUCAAACCGCUCAUUCCAUUUCCUAGGCUUGCUGUUCAAGAAUGAUGUUGUUGCCGCUUUCUUUCUCCUUGAGUUAUUGUGUCACAAACUUCAACUACUGGAGGUAGAGGAGGUGUGCAAUCUCUCUCUCCAAACACUUUUCUAAGUUAAAAUUGAUUAUAAUUUCUUGCUUCAAGUCAUUCCAAUGGAAGCUGAAUUUGGAA